AUCGUUGGCCUCUAUGGUAGAAUCGGUCGGGGAGGCGCGACAGAUGGUGGUUUACCCUUUGGCGUAUGUCAGUGGUUUGAGUCCUCUUAUCUCUAGCCCAUGAUCCUAGACAAUACAAUGGUAUAUGAUAGAACAAAAUUAUUUAGAUACGAUAGUUUGAUUUAUGAUUUAUCAUUCAUGGAUGUUGAUAAGAUACUUCCAUUUAGUACCUCCUUAGGAUAGUAUAGACUUUAAUGAUGAGGUCCAAACGAGGAAGGGAUUAUGGUGGACACCUAGGCACCCAGAUAUGAGGAAGGGCAUGUUAAGCGAUGAAAUGCUUCAGGCAGUUGAAAAUGAGCAUAGAUCUAGAGAUUCUCGAAUAGGUUAACCUUUUUAAUUGCUGCUAAAUCCAUGGGUAGGAAGAUACAACCUAGUGAACUGAAACCUCUUUAGUAGCCAUAAGAUUAGAAAGCAAAAGAAAUUCCUGUAGUAGCGACAAGCGAAAUGGGAGUAGCCUAAACCGUGAAAAUGGUGUUGUGGGAGAGCACAAUAUAAGCUCUGUGCUGCUAAGCAAAGUACUUAAGUCCUUCACCCUAUAUGGUGAUAGUCCAGUAGCCAAAAGCAUCAUUGUCUUAAGCUUUAACCCGAGUAUCAUGGGGCACAUGGAAUCCUGUGUGAAUUAGGAAGGACCACAUUUCAAGGGUAAAUACUCUUGGGUGACCGAUAGCGAAGAAGUUCCAUGAGGGAAAGGUGAAAACAACCCCAAUCGGGGAGUGAAAUAGAACAUGAAACCAUAAGCUCCCAAAUAGUGGGAGUAAAAUGAUAUCUUUGACCGUGUUCCUGUUGAAGAAUGAGACAAUGACUUAUAGGCAGUGGCUUGGUUAAGGGAACCCACCGGAGUUGUAGCGAGAGCGAGUCUCCAUGGGGAAUUUUUCACUUCUUAUGGACCUAAACCUGGGUGAUCUAUCCAUGACCAGGAUGAAACUUGGGUUAAACUAAGUGGAGGUUCGAACCGACUCAUGUUGAAACAUCAGUAGAUGAGUUGUGGUUAGGGGUGAAAUUCCACUCGAACCCAGAGCUAGUUGGUUCUCCCUGAAAUGUGUUAAGGCGCAACAAUUGACUGGACCAUCUAGGGGUAAAGCAUUGUUUCGGUAUGGGUCGCGAGAGAGGUACCAAAUCAUCGAAAACUCUCAAUACUAGAUUGCCCCAAUAAAAGGGGUAAAGGUUAUCAAGUGAGACGAUGGGGGAUAAUAUUCAUUUUCGAGAGGGGAACAACCUAGAUCAUCAGCUAAGGCCCCUAAAUGAUCACCCAGUGAUGAAGGAAGUACGAGUGCAAAGACAACCACAAGGUUUUCCUAGAAGCAACCAUCCUUGAAAGAGUGUGUAAUAUCGCACUAAUUGAGUGCUCUUGCGCCGAAGAUGAAUGGGACUAAGCGAUCUAUCGAAGCUAUGGGAUGUAAAAAUACAUCGGUAGGGGUGUGUUUCACCUCAAAGGGAAGCACCAACGCGAGAAGGUGUGGAUGAAGUGGAAGUGAGAAUGUCGGCUUGAGUAACGCAAAAAUUGGUGAGAAUACAAUGCCCUGAAAACCUAAGGGUUCUUCCACAAGGUUCAUCCAGGAAUAUUGACCCCAUUGGAAUAGAAAAGAUUAGUGUGGUCCAAUUUGUUAUGGAACAUCAAAUUUGAACUAGCUUUAGUGUC
rnacentral:ncRNA from 1 species